CCGGUAUAAAACCACAAACUCAAUCCUGGUGUAAAACAGAGCACAGAUGAACAGACAGAGAUGCUGACUAUGAAGAUAGAUCUCACGGUGGAUCUUUAUUUAAUAUAUACUCUGUGAUUUUAUACACACUUACAGACACGAAUAUAGCGUAAAAAGAAAAUCAGAGAAAUAGAAAGCUGCGGGAGCAUCAGAAACAACAGAUGAGCACAAAACGAGAGGAAAGAGAGAGAAAUGCAGGUCAGAAUCUGUGAAUCGCAAGAGGAAAGACUGAUUUCUGUGAGAUGGGACAGUAUGGAGAGACUGAGGCCGUAUUUGUAAUGUGACCCGGAAGGACCUGUAAAGUUUGGUUCUAAUGGUAAAAGAGAGGUGAACCCUUCAUCGCAGCUGCUGAAGACAUAAUCAUCAUCAUCCUCCUGUUGAAGACUGAUCACAAACACACUAUCUCCCAGAUCAUCUUCUGAUAUCGCUCCGAUGCUGUACUUUUACUCUGAUCACAUUUCAUCUUUCAUUGUCUUAUAUUUCAUGCAUUUUUCUUGACUGCGCAUGUUUUUGUAUCCCGUGAUUUAUUUCAUAUCCACAUUAUUUCUAACAGAACUAUGAUCGCGUUCAUUUUUCAGGCUUCUGCUGUCAUACACUUCCAGAAAACAGCUGCUGCUUGAUCCUACUUUUAAUGUAUCGUCAUAGUUAUAAACACACUGGUCUGGAGAGAAAAUAGCUCGCUUCCGUGUUGCAAAAAAAGCUGUCUAUAUCUCUGUGUAUUUGUGUAACCUUCCAUACCGUUUAUUUUAUACGUAUUUAUUAACUUUUCGCUUAAAUUGAUAUUAUAACCAUUGGAGGACAGUGAUGAUUCAAUAUUAUGUUUGUACUGGUGAUUAUAGACUGGGAAUGACUCACAACAGACUCAAAGUAUUCAACUUUCAGAAACAAGCAACCACCUGAGGGCAUAAGUUCUUCUAGUGGAGGGAGUCCUAGUGCUUAGACUAGUCUCUAUUACAUUGACUGGAAGGCUAGUAUCUUUGCACCUACAUGUCAACUAACUAGUAUUAGUAGACCGGUAGGGUUAGGGUUAGAAUAAGUUGACAUAUUCUUGAAAAGUCACCUAUAGUCAGCAGAAUGUCUUUUAGGAGAUCAUUACCAUAAAGAUAUUGAAAUAUUCCACACUUUUACACAUUUUCUGUGCAUUGCAGACCUAACAUUGCUUAGGAAUUCAGGCGGCCAGCUUCAGUUUACUCAGAGUAUGAAGUAGCCUAUAUGCUUAUUAAUACCUUUAAAGUGAGACACCCCCGGCAUGCAUUGGACAGAAAGGAUAUUUAACAAAAUAAGCACGAAAUACAAAAUACCCUCACCAUUUUAAAUACAUUUUGGUUGCACAACUGAUCAGAAUAAGACGCAAAUAUUAAAAUAAUGUCAAAGAGUCAGCGUACCUGGCAAAUAGUGGAAGUUCUGCUUACAGACACCAGUAUUCUUUAAAACACACCAAAUCAAGACAAAACAAUCAAGAAAGACUUGACAGGACCUGUUGGGACUGAUUCUGACCUGGAAGUCACAGACCACUUGGGGUAGGAUGAUAAAACCUGAUCUGAGGGACCACCCAUACCAAUAGAACAGAAAUAUACAGAGUGCAACAUAAAAAAAUGUGCAAAUGAUCUUUAUGAAGUAUAAAAUUAUUAUUUACACAAAUAGAUGAUCCACUGACUGCACAGAAUAAUUUUAAAGGGAUGAGAGCUGCUAAAUUCCAGUUCUUCAUCCGAUCUGCACUGCUGUUUCACCCAUGUUUUUAGUUUGUUUUAUGUCAAAGUGUGUGUGUGUGUGUGUGUGUGUGUGUGUUUUAAUGGUGCUCUCAUGCAAAUGUGUAUUCUUCUAACUUUUACAUCUUAUAGUCAAAUGUCUUUUUUUCAUUUAUGAUUGCUGAUACACCUAUUAUUAUCAUUUAAUCAUAUUAUAUGGUCACGCGGUUAAUGUUUACAUGUAUUCGCUACCUAGCUCAUUUUUAAAUCUAGCUCGUCGUCUUCACAUGUAUAAACACAGUAAAAAAGAUUUUAAUACAGUAAUUUUGUAGUUUAAAUUUAAAAUAUUUCAAAAUAUUAAAUAAUAUUUUAUAGCUCAGUG